rnacentral:rRNA from 1 species
GAUGAACGCUGGCGGUAUGCUUAACACAUGCAAGUCGAACGAAAUCCUUCGGGUUUAGUGGCGGACGGGUGAGUAACGCGUGAGAAUCUGGCUCUAGGUCUGGGACAACCACUGGAAACGGUGGCUAAUACCGGAUGUGCCGAGAGGUGAAAGGUUAACUGCCUAGAGAUGAGCUCGCGUCUGAUUAGCUAGUUGGAAGUGUAAUGGACUCCCAAGGCGACGAUCAGUAGCUGGUCUGAGAGGACGAUCAGCCACACUGGGACUGAGACACGGCCCAGACUCCUACGGGAGGCAGCAGUGGGGAAUUUUCCGCAAUGGGCGAAAGCCUGACGGAGCAAUACCGCGUGAGGGAGGAAGGCUCUUGGGUCGUAAACCUCUUUUCUCAGGGAAGAACACAAUGACGGUACCUGAGGAAUAAGCAUCGGCUAACUCCGUGCCAGCAGCCGCGGUAAUACGGAGGAUGCAAGCGUUAUCCGGAAUGAUUGGGCGUAAAGCGUCCGCAGGUGGCGAUGUAAGUCUGCUGUUAAAGAGUCUAGCUCAACUAGAUAAGAGCAGUGGAAACUACAUAGCUAGAGUACGUUCGGGGCAGAGGGAAUUCCUGGUGUAGCGGUGAAAUGCGUAGAGAUCAGGAAGAACACCGGUGGCGAAGGCGCUCUGCUAGGCCGUAACUGACACUGAGGGACGAAAGCUAGGGGAGCGAAUGGGAUUAGAUACCCCAGUAGUCCUAGCCGUAAACGAUGGAUACUAGGCGUGGCUUG